GUGUCAGCAGCCGCGGUAAUACGGAGGGGGCUAGCGUUGUUCGGAAUUACUGGGCGUAAAGGGCGCGUAGGCGGCGCGAUAAGUUGGGCGUGAAAGGCCCGGGCUCAACCCGGGGACUGCGCUUGAUACUGUCGCGCUGUGAGUCCGGGAGAGGAUGGCGGAAUUCCCAGUGUAGAGGUGAAAUUCGUAGAUAUUGGGAAGAACACCGGUGGCGAAGGCGGCCAUCUGGACCGGCACUGACGCUGAGGCGCGAAAGCGUGGGGAGCAAACAGGAUUAGAUACCCGCGUAGUCC
rnacentral:rRNA from 1 species